UACGUAGGGACCAAGCGUUGUCCGGAAUCAUUGGGCGUAAAGAGCGUGUAGGCGGCUUGUUAAGUCUUGCGUGAAAUCUCGGGGCUCAACCCCGAGCGGUCGUGAGAAACUGGCAGGCUAGAGUGCAGGAGAGGAGAGUGGAAUUCCUGGUGUAGCGGUGAAAUGCGCAGAUAUCAGGAAGAACACCCGUGGCGAAGGCGGCUCUCUGGAACGCAACUGACGCUGAGACGCGAAAGCGUGGGGAGCAAACAGG
rnacentral:rRNA from 1 species